rnacentral:rRNA from 1 species
UACAGAGGGUGCGAGCGUUAAUCGGAAUUACUGGGCGUAAAGCGCACGUAGGCGGCUUGGUAUGUCGGGUGUGAAAUCCCCGGGCUCAACCUGGGAACUGCAUCCGAAACUGCCUUGCUCGAGUAUGGGAGAGGGAAGUGGAAUUUCCGGUGUAGCGGUGAAAUGCGCAGAUAUCAGGAGGAACACCGGUGGCGAAGGCGGGUCUCUGGGCCGAUACUGACGCUGAGGAGCGAAAGCGUGGGGAGCGAACAGG